AGUGAACGCUGGCGGCAGGCCUAAUACAUGCAAGUCGAACGGCAGCACAGCAGAGCUUGCUCUGUGGGUGGCGAGUGGCGGACGGGUGAGGAAUACAUGGGAAUCUGCCCAGUCGUGGGGGAUAACGUAUGGAAACGUACGCUAAUACCGCAUGCGCCCUAAGGGGGAAAGCCGGGGACCGCAAGGCCUGGCGCGAUUGGAUGAGCCCAUGUUCGAUUAGCUAGUUGGCGGGGUAAAGGCCCACCAAGGCGACGAUCGAUAGCUGGUCUGAGAGGAUGAUCAGCCACACUGGAACUGAGACACGGCCCAGACUCCUACGGGAGGCAGCAGUAGGGAAUAUUGGACAAUGGGGGCAACCCUGAUCCAGCCAUGCCGCGUGAGUGAAGAAGGCCCUCGGGUUGUAAAGCUCUUUUGUCCGGAAAGAAAAGCAAUCGGUUAAUACCCGGUUGUCCUGACGGUACCGGAAGAAUAAGCACCGGCUAACUUCGUGCCAGC
rnacentral:rRNA from 1 species